CAGAAAAGCUUGCUUUUGCUGACGACCGGCGCACGGGUGCGUAACGCGUAUGCAACCUACCUCAUACUGGAGGAUAGCCCCUGGAAACGGGGAUUAAUACUCCAUAGUAUCACAAUUUCGCAUGUUAUUGUGAUUAAAGUUUUUCGGUAUGAGAUGGGCAUGCGUCCCAUUAGCUUGUUGGUGAGGUAACGGCUCACCAAGGCAACGAUGGGUAGGGGGCCUGAGAGGGUGGUCCCCCACACUGGUACUGAGACACGGACCAGACUCCUACGGGAGGCAGCAGUGAGGAAUAUUGGUCAAUGGAGGCAACUCUGAACCAGCCAUGCCGCGUGAAGGAUGACGGCCCUAUGGGUUGUAAACUUCUUUUAUAGAGGAAGAAACUUAUCUACGUGUAGAUAACUGACGGUACUCUACGAAUAAGGAUCGGCUAACUCCGUGCCAGCAGCCGCGGUAAUACGGAGGAUCCAAGCGUUAUCCGGAUUCAUUGGGUUUAAAGGGUCCGUAGGCGGGUCUUUAAGUCAGUGGUGAAAGCCGACAGCUCAACUGUCGAACUGCCAUUGAUACUGGAGACCUUGAGUACAAAUGAAGUAGGCGGAAUGAGUCAUGUAGCGGUGAAAUGCAUAGAUAUGACUCAGAACACCGAUUGCGAAGGCAGCUUACUAACAUGUAACUGACGCUGAGGGACGAAAGCGUGGGGAGCGAACAGGAUUAGAUACCCUGGUAGUCCACGCCGUAAACGAUCAUCACUCGCUGUUGGCGAUAUACUGUCAGCGGCCAAGCGAAAGUAUUAAGUGAUGCACCUG
rnacentral:rRNA from 1 species